rnacentral:SRP_RNA from 1 species
GCCGAGCGAGGUGGCGCGUGCCUGUAGUCCCAGCUACUCAGGAGGCUGAGGUGGGAGGAUCGCUUGAGCCCAGGAGUUCUGGGCUGUAGUGUGCUAUGCCAACAGGUGUCCGCACUGAGUUCGGCAUCAAUAUGGUGGCCUCCUGGGAGUGGGGAGGAGUGAUGAACCAAGCCAGGUGGGAAAUGGAGCAGGUCAGUAGCAGGAUCAGUAGUGGGAUCACACCUGUGAAUAGCCACUGUACUCCAGCCUGAGCAACACAGCAAUAUCCCAUCUCU